GUGAGUAGUUCAGAGUUUGAUCCUGGCUCAGAUUGAACGCUGGCGGCAUGCUUUACACAUGCAAGUCGAACGGAAACAUGAAAGAGCUUGCUCUUUUGAUGUCGAGUGGCGAACGGGUGAGUAAUACAUCGGAACAUGUCCUUUUGUGGGGGAUAACUACUCGAAAGAGUAGCUAAUACCGCAUAAGACCUGAGGGUGAAAGCGGGGGAUCUUCGGACCUCGCGCAGAUGGAGUGGCCGAUGACUGAUUAGCUAGUUGGUGGGGUAAAGGCCUACCAAGGCGACGAUCAGUAGCUGGUCUGAGAGGACGACCAGCCACAUUGGGACUGAGACACGGCCCAA
rnacentral:rRNA from 1 species